rnacentral:lncRNA from 1 species
AAAGAUUUCUCGGCCUGGUUCAAAUGCUGCUAAGCUUCAGAAAUUACAGCCCCCUCCAGGAGUGGGUAAGAGCUGACACAAAGCAGCAAUAACCCAAAACUUCCCAGCUGUUGUGUCUGGCCUUUUGAAAAGAGGAAUUCCUUGCUAAGGAGCCUGAAACCUUACUCUUCCCACUCAGCAUUGCCUGAGGGCGCUAGCAUUAAAAGGAUGUGUGAAAAAGGAUUUAUGGCUUGCAAAGAAACACCUUCUGCUCCAGUAUCCACGGGCCCUAUAAUAUUAGCAGAGAUGGCUGAGCAUGAAGGGCUGUCGACAAGUAGGAAUGCUGAUAUGAUUCUCUUCUUCCUCCUGGGGAAAAACGUGGCCGUGGGCAAGGGCCUGGCUUUGGUUUCUUUGAAGAAAGUGAAUGUCCUGCAUAUCAGUAAGAAAAUGUUGAGAAACACCUCCAGUUCAUGGAGAAUCACCAUGUUAUAGCAUCCUUUCCCAUAGUAUGGAGGGGGGAAAGUGUGCAAAAAAAAAAAAGCCAGAGGACAGGCUCUGAAUCAUGUUCUCUGCAUCUAAUGACCUCAUUGUAAGAUGUUCAAGGGCAUGCCUGAAGGAGGGAAGCUGGAAGAACAUCUAUUCUUCUGGAAGAAAUGGUGCAACAACCCACGCCUCGCCAGCACACCCAUGGACCCCCUGGGAUAAGGGUGGCUGGCAGUGUGUGUGCUUUGAGUCACAAAAGCUCACAUUGGUGGGUUUCAGUCUUGAGAAUACUGGGAGCUUUCUAUGGGGCACGUCUACCUAGAGCCAAGCUUCUAUGUAUUCUCUGUGACACUAAGGAUGUCGGUGGGAGGGAAACAAGAUGAGCCAUGCUUUUCAUACGUUUGGGCAAGAUGUGCAAAGUGAGAAACUUUAUUGUUGUUCUUGGCCAAUUCCCCCGUUCUGUUUCCAGC